AGGUGCAAGCGUUAAUCGGAAUUACUGGGCGUAAAGCGCGCGUAGGUGGCUUGAUAAGCCGGUUGUGAAAGCCCCGGGCUCAACCUGGGAACGGCAUCCGGAACUGUCAAGCUAGAGUGCAGGAGAGGAAGGUAGAAUUCCCGGUGUAGCGGUGAAAUGCGUAGAGAUCGGGAGGAAUACCAGUGGCGAAGGCGGCCUUCUGGACUGACACUGACACUGAGGUGCGAAAGCGUGGGUAGCAAACAGGAUUAGAUACCCUGGUAGUCCACGCCGUAAACGAUGUCGACCAGCCGUUGGGUGCCUAGCGCACUUUGUGGCGAAGUUAACGCGAUAAGUCGACCGCCUGGGGAGUACGGCCGCAAGGUUAAAACUCAAAUGAAUUGACGGGGGCCCGCACAAGCGGUGGAGCAUGUGGUUUAAUUCGAUGCAACGCGAAGAACCUUACCUACUCUUGACAUCCUGCGAACUUGUGAGAGAUCACUUGGUGCCUUCGGGAACGCAGAGACAGGUGCUGCAUGGCUGUCGUCAGCUCGUGUUGUGAAAUGUUGGGUUAAGUCCCGUAACGAGCGCAACCCUUGUCCUUAUUUGCCAGCACGUAAUGGUGGGAACUCUAAGGAGACUGCCGGUGACAAACCGGAAGGAAGGUGGGGACGACGUCAAGUCAUCAUGGCCCUUACGAGUAGGGCUACACACGUGCUACAAUGGCCGGUACAAAGGGUUGCCAACUCGCGAGAGUGAGCUAAUCCCGAAAAGCCGGUCUCAGUCCGGAUCGGAGUCUGCAACUCGACUCCGUGAAGUCGGAAUCGCUAGUAAUCGUGAAUCAGAAUGUCACGGUGAAUACGUUCCCGGGCCUUGUACACACCGCCCGUCACACCAUGGGAGUGGACUGCACCAGAAGUGGUUAGCCUAACGCAAGAGGGCGAUCACCACGGUGUGGUUCAUGA
rnacentral:rRNA from 1 species